rnacentral:rRNA from 1 species
GUAGGUGGCAAGCGUUGUCCGGAAUUAUUGGGCGUAAAGCGCGCGCAGGCGGUCCUUUAAGUCUGAUGUGAAAGCCCACGGCUCAACCGUGGAGGGUCACUGGAAACUGGGGGACUUGAGUACAGAAGAGGAAAGCGGAAUUCCAAGUGUAGCGGUGAAAUGCGUAGAGAUUUGGAGGAACACCAGUGGCGAAGGCGGCUUUCUGGUCUGUAACUGACGCUGAGGCGCGAAAGCGUGGGGAGCAAACAGGGAUUAGAUACCCAGGUAGUCCACGCCGUAAACGAUGAGUGCUAAGUGUUAGGGGGGUUUCCCGCCCCUUAGUGCUGCAGCUAACGCAUUAAGCACUCCGCCUGGGGAGUACGGCCGCAAGGCUG